CUCAGCUGCUUGGCCUCAGUCCACACUCCAGCCAGACACCACCUGGUUCACCACCACCGCAGCUUCGAACACAGAAUUCGGGACUGAUUCAGGUUUGGCCCUGAGGCUGGUGAACGGAGGUGACCGUUGUCAGGGCCGCGUGGAGGUCCUGUACCGAGGCUCUUGGGGCACCGUGUGUGACGACAGCUGGGACACCAAUGACGCCAACGUGGUGUGCAGGCAGC